rnacentral:rRNA from 1 species
GACGAACGCUGGCGGCGUGCUUAACACAUGCAAGUCGAACGAAGAGCGAUGGAAGCUUGCUUCUAUCAAUCUUAGUGGCGAACGGGUGAGUAACGCGUAAUCAACCUGCCCUUCAGAGGGGGACAACAGUUGGAAACGACUGCUAAUACCGCAUACGAUCUAAUCUCGGCAUCGAGGAUAGAUGAAAGGUGGCCUCUAUGUAUAAGCUAUCACUGAAGGAGGGGAUUGCGUCUGAUUAGCUAGUUGGAGGGGUAACGGCCCACCAAGGCGAUGAUCAGUAGCCGGUCUGAGAGGAUGGACGGCCACAUUGGGACUGAGACACGGCCCAGACUCCUACGGGAGGCAGCAGUGGGGAAUCUUCCGCAAUGGACGAAAGUCUGACGGAGCAACGCCGCGUGAGUGAUGACGGCCUUCGGGUUGUAAAGCUCUGUUAAUCGGGACGAAAGGCCUUCUUGCGAAUAGUGAGAAGGAUUGACGGUACCGGAAUAGAAAGCCACGGCUAACUACGUG